GACGAACGCCGGCGGCGUGCCUAAUACAUGCAAGUAGAACGCUGAAGAGAGGAGCUUGCUCUUCUUGGAUGAGUUGCGAACGGGUGAGUAACGCGUAGGUAACCUGCCUGGUAGCGGGGGAUAACUAUUGGAAACGAUAGCUAAUACCGCAUAAAAUGGAUUAUCGCAUGAUAAUCAAUUGAAAGGUGCAAGUGCAUCACUACCAGAUGGACCUGCGUUGUAUUAGCUAGUUGGUGGGGUAACGGCUCACCAAGGCGACGAUACAUAGCCGACCUGAGAGGGUGAUCGGCCACACUGGGACUGAGACACGGCCCAGACUCCUACGGGAGGCAGCAGUAGGGAAUCUUCGGCAAUGGACGGAAGUCUGACCGAGCAACGCCGCGUGAGUGAAGAAGGUUUUCGGAUCGUAAAGCUCUGUUGUAAGAGAAGAACGAGUGUGAGAGUGGAAA
rnacentral:rRNA from 1 species